GGAGAGGCCAGUGAACUCUAAUAACUGGAAGGCUAACUCCUAUGAUGAAAGUCUAUGAUUCGUUGAAGCCGGCGCGCGGGAAAAUCAGCUUUCAAAAAGACUAAGGAGAGUUUCGAGGAGUGAAAAAAAUUCUGCCAAAAGUUUGUUUUCGAGCAAAAAUUUGCAAGAAAAACACUUUUUCCAUGGGAAUACAACAAUGAUUGGGAUUUAAACCAGG